ACCAGCACCGUUAUCACCUCCACCAUCAUCACCACCAUCAUCACCACCUUCACCAUCACCACCACCACCCCUCUCUCCAUCUGCUGCAGUGAAUACCCCCUGAGUGGGCCUUGAUGGGAUUCUCUCUGCAGGAGGACCUCUUAGAUGCUCAGCUGCUGGUGUAGGAAGUGUGAGUUUUUACAUUUUAAAUGAAUCCAGCCUCGCUCCGCUCACUUGACAUGCCUGGUGGGCUGGAGGGGUUGUAAACUGUGUCUUCCUGGACACUGUAUUAAAAUUCACUUCUUAUCACCCAAUAGGUGGAAAUGAUCAUUUUAUUUCCCCUCUAAGGAGUGAGAAAAGGCAGCUUCAUCUAAGAAAAGAGAAAGUACUGGUGUGGGGUCAGUGUUGGAAUGUUAACCACGAGGUCUGCAGUUCAAAUCCCCCAGCUGCCCCAAGGGGACAUGUGAGGCUGACUGCUCCCGGAAAGACGAGUCUUGGAGACCUUAUUACAGGGUCACUCCGGGUCGGAAUGGACUCGGUGGCCGUAGGUUUCGGUGUUCGGCCCCGGACCGUUCCUGCCUACUUUCUGCUUGUUGGCUUUUCUGGCAUCCAAGUGCUGGGGGAGGGGGAGCAGAGGGGGGCUUUUGGCUACUGUUUGUGAGGGUGCUUUGCCACAGGGUCGUGCCUGUUGUGUGCGGUGUCUCAUGCCCUAGCUGCACUUUGUACCAGAGCCCUGGUGGUUUCGGUGGUUACACAUCGGGCUGCGAUCUGCAAGGUCAGCAGUUCAAAGCCACCAGCCACUCUGUGCAGGAGAGAGAUGAGGCUUUCUACUCCCAUCAACCGUUAGAGUCUCAGACAAACCCAAAGGGCCGGUUCUACUGUGCUCCAUAGGGUCACGAGUCAGCAGGGAUUGUUGAAAGCGGGAGAUGUCUACAUUUUGUAAUUGCUUAUUGACAGGGCCGCCUCUGCGGGGAGAUGGUUUCGGAAAUGCAUACUCCACUCCAUUUUCCCCUCCCUCCCUCCAGGGCUGUUCCGGUCACAACUGUUUGAGAUCUUCCGCUUUCUGUUUUCCCGUAGAAGUGGUGUCAUGAGCAGCAUUUCUGUAUGGACAGAAAGCGCCUGCUGGUCCCCCUUACGGGAACUGGGAUAACUGCACACCGGGGGUGGGGAACGCCCGCAGUAUAAGGCGCGGGAAACCAUCCCACCAGCGAACCGCGCCAUGCCUCACCAGGAGAAGCUGCUCCAGCGUCACGUUAAGGGAGGCAGUGGUAGUGUUGCCAGCUGCCCCACAGGAGAAAGAUGAGGCUUUCUGCUCCG